rnacentral:lncRNA from 1 species
UGUGGGCAGAACGUAAAAAGUGUGUGUGAGCAAAGAAGCCUACAAACCUGAUUCAGUUACACUAGCUCUGUCAGGAGGAAUGGGCCAAAAUUCACCCAAUUUAUUGUGGGAAACUUGUGGAAGGCUACCCGAAACGUUUGACCCAAGUUAAACAAUUUAAAGGCAAUGCCACACUCAAUUAGUAUUUGGUUCGUAAACUUCUGACCCACUGGGAAUGUGAUGAAAGAAAUAAAAGCUGAAAUAAAUCAUUCUCUCUACUAUUAUUCUGAAAUUUCAAAUUUUUUAAAUAAAGUGAUGAUCCUAACUGACCUAAAACAGGGACUUUUUUACUAGGAUUACAUGUCAGGAAUUGUGAAAAGGUGUAUGUAAACUUCCGACUUCAACUGUAUAUAUUCCCUCGAACUACUCGGAGACACUUUUGGAAAAAAGAAGCACUUUAACUUUAGGAUCGGACAUUUUGAGGAUCGUGAUUUUGGGACUAAGGUAACUAACAUCCGAAUAUAUACUUAAAUAUACAUAUUUGGAAAAUGACAUGACAAUGAAUUGGAGAUUUGACGAUUUUAAUGACAUAUACAUAGACUUUCUAAACCAUUUGAGGCCGUCUGUGUUGAGGUUUUCAAGUUGUUUAAAGAGAAUUCAGGCAAAGUUAUAGAGGCCCGUCUGUGUUGAGGUAUUGUCAUGACUCCUACCGAAGGUGGCUCCACUUCCUGUUCGGGUGGCGCUCGGCGGUCGUCGUCACCGGUCCACUACCUGCCACCGAUCCCUUUUUCCCCCUUUUCUGUUUAUUGGUUUCACCUGUGUUUAGUUUAGGCUGAUUGGUUGGGCUUUUAUUACCCGCCUGCUGGUUUUGCGGGAUUAUUUCGAUGUUCCUGUGUACACGGCUGUAUGUCACGGGUGUCCGUGUGUUUGGGUUUUUGCUGGACUGUUUAAAUCCCCCGUGUUUGGGGCAUUUGUUUUGGUUGGCGUCUGUUCACCGUUGUGGUGCAUUAAAAGUGAGCGCAACCCUGAACUCUCUGCUUCCUGCGCCUGACUUCUUCCCCGCUACUCCCCGGGCGCUACAGUACAUUACCCAUCCUGACAACCUGGCGCUAAUUUAGAAGCUUCUGGAAGCACCAUCCAAGCAAGAAAAUAAACACACCGCAGACUACAUGUACAUGUGAGUAUAAGUACAAUGUAAUUAAUAGGCGUUACACAGAAUUUAGUUUCGUAUUUCGUAUUUCUAU